CCUCCAUCCAAGGUCUGCCAAAUUGUAGAGGUUUGUGCACUGCUGCACAACAUCUGCAAACCAAGAAACAUCAUUCUUCCUGAGGAAGCAGAACAUCUUGCUGCAGCCGAGGAUGGAGGCAACGAGGAGCGACUCCUAGCACAGAAAGUUCAAAGUCGCCAUGAAGGAAUCCUUUACAGGGAUGAAUUUGUUGUGCUUCACUUCAACAUUGAUGAGUGAUGAGACACCAGUGUCAUGACUGCUGAGAUUGGUGUUAUUCUCAUGUGGAUGAUCUCCUCAUCCACAAACACCAGUGAUGUACCAGGCAAGUCUGGCCCCUGUUGGUGCUGCAAGUGGUGUGGCAGGUGCCUCCUCCUCAACACCCACUGUCUCGGUCACCACUUCUCUCUGUUGGGCUGCCUCUGCCACUUUCCCAGCAUCAUCUGCUGCCUGCACACUGCUGGCAUCAUUAGUUCUAACUUCAGAAACUAAGCUGAUAAUGUUUUUGGUCUUAUUGCUAAAGACAAAAGUAACAGAAACCAGUAAAUCUAGCUAAGGGUACAAUGUGUUUGACUUAAAUCCUAUUCUGUUUGAAGGAAGCCCAUGUCUAAGAAACUGUAAAUCCCUAA